UACGGGGGGGGCAAGCGUUGUUCGGAAUUACUGGGCGUAAAGGGCUCGUAGGCGGCCAGCUAAGUCGGAUGUGAAAUCCCCAAGCUUAACUUGGGAACUGCAUCCGAUACUGGAUGGCUUGAAUCCGGGAGAGGGAUGCAGAAUUCCAGGUGUAGCGGUGAAAUGCGUAGAUAUCUGGAGGAACACCAAUGGCGAAGGCAGCUCGCUGGGACGGUACUGACGCUGAGGCGCGAAAGCGUGGGGAGCAAACAGG
rnacentral:rRNA from 1 species